GAACCAUUUGCUUCCAGCCCUCCACUUUACACUUCACUAACGUUUUAGUUCUCCUUCUUCAAUGCUCCACCCUUUCUUUCUCUCACUUUUUUACUCUCUCUGUUAUCUCUUAUGAAUUUAAUUUCAUUUGGUCUUGUUUCUACUCUCACUUUUGGUUUUCUAUUUAUUUUCUGUUUUGUCUCUCGCUUCUGAUUUUAUUUUAUUUUUUCUUUUGAUUUUAGGUCUUCUUUUAUCGAUUUUCCAUUUGAUUGGUUUGAUUUUUCAUUCAAUUUUGGUUCAACCCUGUUGCAGUAAUAGUGUUGCAUGCACUGAAUCUAGACUUGGUUGGAUGUUGUUGCAGCUGAUCCUUUUGUUCCUCCUCUCCGUCGUCCCUAAUCAAGGGCCUUUGUGUUUACUUUGAGAAGAAAGGAAAGGAAUUGCAAACAUGAGAUGCAGGAAAGGAGCCGAAAGGAAUGGAAUUGCAAACAUGAGAUGCAGGAAAGGAACAGAGAAAGCUUGAUAUUCCAAAAUUCUACCCAUUUUCCAAAGAUAUUACUAUAUGUUAUAUUACAGCGGUUUAUAAGUUAUAACGUGAGGAAACUGAAGAAUUUUAGAAGUGUGCCGAGACAUCUAUAUAAAUGGAAACUAUGAUCAUUGUGAAACAAGUAGAUGUGGAAAUCAAGAGUAAAAAUCUGGACGGGGUAAAAGUUUGUCAUUCUGAUGCUCUACACAGGAAGCAACAACAUUUUGGUGACGAAACAGCGGAAAAUGAUGUGUGUUCGUGUUUUUUGGUUUGUUUUGUUGUGGUAAAAUAUUUUCUUUCCGAUUUUUUGUUGUUAUUUCUCAUAGGAACUUAUGGGAUCAUAGUGCUCCAAGUGACUCUAGCUGGUAUUGGAAGAAGAUAAAUAAAAUAAAACUGGGCAUGAAACAAUGGUACAAUGCUGGUGUAUACACUCUUACAACCAAUGGCAAAUACUCUAUUGGUAACAGCUAUCUCACUCUGAUAGGCAGUGGAACCAAUAUUAAGGAAAUGAAUUGAUAUGGAAUAAGGUGAUGCAGCCAAACCACAGGUUCAUCCUGUGGUUAGCAUACAGAGGAAGUUACUAACUAAAGACAGGAUGAUAGGAAUGGGAAUGAUUUGUGAUAUUGCUGAGUGUGUGCUUUGUGAUCAGGACAAAAUGGAAGAUUUCGAUCACCUCUUUGGGAAGUGUGAAUGGUUUCAAGUACUAUGGAUUGAGAUUAACAAGUGGCUGGGCGUGCAGAUACCACAGGCUGAACCAAGAAAGGUGGUGCAAAGCAUCAGAAGGAAACAAUGGAGUAAAAUGAAAAAGGAAACUGUCGUAGCAGUACAUGGAGCAAUGAUUUAUCUCACAUGGCAAGUAAGGAACUGGAAAAUCUUUCAAGCUACCACUGUAAACACAGACUUAGUUGUUAAACAAAUACAAUUUGUAGUUAAAGAGAGUGUAGGUAUGUUCAUAGGCUCAAAACAUGCUCGGAAUUGUAUAGAUUUUCUUGAGGCAAUUGCAAGUAGCACUUGAGACUUGCUAUCCUGGUUGACCUGUGUGGGUGACUAGGAAACAGGUGUUCCUAGGCUGUUUUGUUGGAAUGGUUGGUUGUGGUAAUAAAAUAUUUACAGUUCAUUACCAAAAAAGAAAAUUGCUGGGAGCUUUAGAAGGUUGGCAAUUUAUUUAAUUUAACUUUAAGGUGAGAAAUUUAUCAUAUUCUAUGAUUGCAUAGCGAUUUUUAAUCCUUAUAUGUUAUAAGUGAUCAAUUAAGUUUAGAUUCUUAUUCCUUU